rnacentral:rRNA from 1 species
GACGAACGCUGGCGGCGUGCUUAACACAUGCCAGUCGAACGGAAAGGCCCUGCUUUUGUGGGGUGCUCGAGUGACGAACGGGUGAGUAACACGUGAGUAACCUGCCCUUGACUUUGGGAUAACUUCAGGAAACUGGGGCUAAUACCGGAUAGGAGCUCCUGCUGCAUGGUGGGGGUUGGAAAGUUUCGGCGGUUGGGGAUGGACUCGCGGCUUAUCAGCUUGUUGGUGGGGUAGUGGCUUACCAAGGCUUUGACGGGUAGCCGGCCUGAGAGGGUGACCGGCCACAUUGGGACGGAGAUACGGCCCAGACUCCUACGGGGGGCAGCAGUGGGGAAUAUUGCACAAUGGGCGGAAGCCUGAUGCAGCAACGCCGCGUGCGGGAUGACGGCCUUCGGGUUGUAAACCGCUUUCGCCUGUGACGAAGCGUGAGUGACGGUAAUGGGUAAAGAAGCACCGGCUAACUACGUG